rnacentral:ncRNA from 20 species
UAUGGAAUACGCCUUCGAGCCUGUCCGCCUAAAGGUAGCGUCCCAUGGCAGACUGGCCUGGGCCCGACGCCCACGGGGUAUAGUUGGAAACGGCUAUGCCUUCCCAGUUUGAAAAGGAGGUAGACAAAUGAUUAG